UGAUACUAGUACUAUCUGGAUUUAUUUUCUGUUAGUUUUCCUACCAAAACAUUUCAAAAUUAUUUUUAGAUGAAAAUAAAAAACCAGUAUAUUUGGUCACAACACUGGAUAACACAGUGGAAGACCUGUUAACACUGGAGUAUGUGAAGGCUGAAAAAAAUGCACCUAACUUAAAAAGUACCUAUGGCAGUGUUUUACAGCUGAUCAAGGUGAAUUUUUCCUCUUUGGAUAUUCAUUUACAUACUGAAGCACUUCUAAAUACAAUAAAUUACUUUAAUAAAAUCCUUCCACCCUCCAUGGGAACAUCAGCCUCAGUGUCUACUGUGGAGACUGAAGACAAAGGAGAAAUCAUUAAAAAAUUAGCUUUCAAGCAAUCCAUGAAUGAAGAUAUUAUUACAUUGCAGAUUUUUGCAGAAUUGUCAUGUUUACAGAUUUUUAUUCAAGAACAGAAACGUAACAUUUCUGAAAUUAAGAUUGAAGGGCUUGAUUCUGAGGUGAUUAUGAGGCCUUCAGUAACUGAAAUAAAUGCAAAGCUAAGAAAUAUAAUUGUUUUGGAUUCAGAUACAAUGGCUGUAUACAAAAAGGCUGUUUAUAUCACUGAAAAAGAGGUUUUCAGCUUCAGAAUGAUUUCUUACAUGGAUGCAACUGCUGGUUCUGCGUACACAGACAUGAGUGUGGUAGACCUUCAGAUUAAUUUAACUGUUGGUUGUAUCGAAGUAGUUUUUCUCACAAAAUUUCUAUAUUCUAUAUUGGCUUUUAUAGAUAAUUUUCAAGCAGCUAAAGAAGCUUUGGCUGAAGCAACUGUUCAGGCAGCAGAAAUGGCUGCUACUGGUGUAAAAGAACUGGCACAAAGGAGUUUAAGAUUAGCACUGGACGUUAAGAUAAACGCCCCAGUGGUAAUCAUCCCACAGUCGCCAGAUUCAACAAAUAUUUUUGUAGCUGAUUUUGGAUUAAUUACAAUGACCAAUAAAUUCAUUAUGGUGACAGAGAGCCAGAGCAAUCCUCCACCUGUUAUUGACCUCAUAACAAUCAAGCUGAGUGAAAUGAGACUUUACAGGUCUCAGUUUAUUAAUGAGGAGUACCAAGAAGUACUGGAUCUACUACUGCCAUUAAAUCUUGAAGUGGUUGUUGAGCGAAAUCUAUCCUGGGAUUGGUACCAGGAAGUUCCUUGUUUUAAUGUAAAUGCUCAGUUAAAACCCAUGGAGUUCAUCCUUAGUCAAGAAGAUUUAACAACUAUUUUUAAAACUUUGUAUGGAAAUCUGUGGUACGAACCAGGUGUUAGUGCCUCACCUGCCAUAACUAAAGACCAAAGCAGCGGUGCCAGUGUGGUCACUAACGCGUCACCCCAGUCAGCAGGAGCAACUGUAGUGACAGCUGCUGUGGUGGAAGUAUAUUCACGUGGCUCUCAAGUUAAGACGAUGCUGAAUAUAAGUUUCAAAACUGAUUAUCUCACCAUGAUGCUAUAUAGUCCAGGUCCUAAACUGACUUCCUUUUCAGAUGUUCGUGAUCCUUCUCUGCAGCUUGCUGAAUUUAAAUUGGAAAAUAUUAUAAGUUCUUUAAAAAUGUAUACAGAUGACAAUACAGUUUCUUCUUUCUCAUUAAAAAACUGUAUUUUGGAUGACAAAAGACCUCAUGUCAAGAAAGCAACCCCCAGAAUGAUAGGACUGACUGUUGGAUUUGACAAAAAGGACAUGAUGGAUGUACAGUAUAGGACAGUCAGAGACGGUUCUGUGACUGAUGCAGUCUUUCAAGAAAUGUAUAUUUGUGCAAGUGUGGAAUUUUUGCUGACAGUUGCCAAUGUCUUUCUUGAGGCCUACACUACAGGCACUACUGUGGAAAACACUGUUCAGACAUGGGCUGCAAAAGAAGUACCUAUGCAGGAAUCAGAGAAAUGGGAAGUUAACAUUCUUAUCAAAAAUCCAGAAAUUGUGUUUGUGGCUGAUAUGACAAGCAGUGACGCUCCUGCCUUAGUCAUUACAACACAGUGUGAGAUUUGCUAUAAAGGUGACCUGGAAAACAGCACUGUGACUGCUGCGGUUAAAGAUCUCCAAGUCAGAGCAUGCCCGUUUCUUCCAGUCAAGAGAAGAGGCAGAGUUGCUACUGUUUUGCAGCCCUGUGACUUGUUUUAUCAAGCUACUCAGACAGGUGUAGAUCCACAAGUGAUGGAUAUAUCAGUAAAGUCCCUUACACUAAAAGUUUCACCAGUUAUCAUAAAUACCAUGAUUACUAUAACUUCAGCGCUUUAUACAACUAAGGAAAUGAUCCCAGAAGUAACUGUUUCUUCGAUAGCACGUUUGUGGGAAAAAAAGGAUACAAAAGAUUUAAAAAUGUGGUUCCUUGAAGAAUCAAGUGAAACUGAAAAAAUAACUCCUACAACUGAAUUGGUACCAAAAGGAGAAAUGAUGAAAAUGAAUAUUGAUUCUAUUUUUAUAGUUCUAGAAGCUGGAAUUGGUCAUAGGACAGUACCUAUGCUCUUGGCAAAGUCACGUUUUUCAGGGGAAGGCAAAAACUGGAGCACAUUAAUAAAUCUGCAUUGUCAACUUGAACUGGAAGUUCAUUAUUACAAUGAAAUGUUUGGUGUAUGGGAGCCUUUGCUUGAACCUUUAGAAAUUGAUCAGACUGAGGAUUUUAGGCCAUGGACUCUUGGAAUCAAGAUGAAAAAGAAACCCAAAAAAGCCAUUGUUGAGUCAGAUACUGAAGCAGAAAACUACAAAGUGCCAGAGUAUAAAACUGUCAUCAGUUUCAAUUCAAAAGACCAGUUAAACGUUACAUUAUCCAAAUGUGGCCUUGUAAUGUUAAAUAAUUUAGUCAAGGCAUUUACAGAAGCUGCGACUGAACCUUCAGCUCUCUUCGUAAGGGAUCUAGCACCAUUUAUAAUUUUGAAUUCUCUUGGACUUACUGUAUCAGUUUCACCAAGUGAUGCUUUUAACGUACUCAAUGUUCCAUUGGCAAAAUCAUACACGUUGAAAAAUGAAGAGAGUUUAAAUAUGGAUUAUGUAGGAACUAAGGACAAUGAUCAUUUCAGUGCAAUGACCAGUUUAAGCAGCAAACUCUUUUUUAUUCUCCUUACACCUGAGAACCACUCUACUGCCGAUAAGAUUCCUUUAACAAAAGUGGGACGACGUCUGUACACGGUGAGACACAGAGAAUCUGGAGUUGAAAGAUCUAUUGUUUGUCAGAUUGAUGCGGUGGAAGGAAGUAAAGCAGUAAUAAUCCGCUCACCCGUGCAGAUUAGAAAUCAUUUUCCAGUACCAAUUUCUGUUUACGAAGGAGAAAAAUUAUUGGGAAUUGCUUUACCUGAGAAUGAAUUCAACAUACCAUUAGCAUCUUACCGGUGAUUUUAUGUUUUUCUUUGCUAUGUGUUUGUUUAUAGAAUUUUUAUUUUCAAGUUUAUGUGAAUAUUU
rnacentral:lncRNA from 1 species